UAUAUCCCCAUUCCCCUUUCACGUUCUUCUCUUCGGUUUCAGAAAGAAGAAAUCGUUCUUCCUUGCCUUUCGCCGGCGGCAACAACGACCUAGCGUGGUGCGGUGGUGGAUCUCCGGCAGCCUAGCCCGCUUCUCCAACCAGCAUGCUGAUUUCGUUUUCCUCUUCUCCUUAUGUCAUUGUUGAUUUGUUGAGAAGAUUCAUUUCCCUUCAAAUUCAGUACACUCCUUGGCGACGUAAUUUGUUGCUGCCCUGUAUCUCCUAUCUGACUGGUGCGGUCUAUUCUUUUUCCUGUACUGUGUACUCAGCCUGCAUAGGCGCUGGUUUAGUGGUGUGGGCUGUGGAAUUUCUGUUACAUGGCAUUUGCGAUUUCCUUUUUUUGUUUCUUUCCAGCUUUUCCUCCACUAAACGGUGUUGUAGGGGAAGAUCAGAAUAGGUGAGUUUUUCCUGCAAUCUUGACAGUUUUUACAACUUCAGAUGACCUGGAACUUGUUGAGAGAAUGCUGGAUUUGAUUAAGGUAUCUUACGUUCCAAGAUGCAUGAUGUACUUAAAUGUGAAAAUUUUGAUUCGUCCAAACAAACUUCACAAGUUUCUUUUUUAUUUUGUCAACAUAUUAUGUUGGAUAAGCACCAAAAGUGUGUGGCAUUAAAUGUAUGCUUGCAUGUCAAAAAUGGUUAACUAUACCUACACAGCCAAACUUGCCAUUUGGUAUGUAUAAGAUUGUCUUUAAGUGAUCCUGGGAUUUGGGUUCUAUCUCAGUAAGAAGCAUUUGUCUGUAGCCAGAGUUACAAAGCAAGCCUCAAAAGGAAGGUGCAUAAUCUGAACAAUUUUGGGAUGAUGGUUUGUUAUUACUGCUUUAUGGCACUGCUAACUUGUUUUCAUGGUUAUUUUUUUUCAGCAUGAUGGUUCUCGUGCACCAUAGAACACACUAAAUAGUGAACAACCAAGUCAGGAUCACCUAGGUGCUCCGUGUAGAUGCAGCGCAUCCCUGGAACAGCAAAGUUUGGCAGAGCCACGCGAUACUCCGGGACAUAGUACAGACCAUGAUUACCGGUGAAUUUUUUCAGAGGGCACAGUUUUUAGUGGACAGCACAAUCAGGUUCAACUAGGGUCUCAAAGAAGACGUUUUAGGUAUCUGGGACAGAGAAGUCAGAAUCAACUAGAUUGUAGUCCAACAAGUAGUACUCCUUAUGGUCACAAGGGACAGCCAAGUCAGGCUCCCCUAAGGGAUCCACCUCCAGGAAAUCUUGAACUUGAUCCUUAUGAAACCCACAUUCCGGAUGAAAUUCAGUAGCAAGGGGAUUUUCAAUGCAACAGGAUUUUCUAUAAAAUUGAGUGUCAUUGCAAUUGUACAAGCAUUAGAGAGAAAUAUUGAACUUGCCUAACUUGCCUUCUGUGGUUCUAGCAAGAUUUUAAUUGUAUUGUACCAAAGGCCAUGUUUUUUUUUUCAAAGCUAGAUACUUUGUUCUCAUACUCCCAUUGAAAUAAGAGUAAUAAUAUUCUUGUGUAUAA